rnacentral:rRNA from 1 species
UACGUAGGGGGGCAAGCGUUAUCCGGAUUUACUGGGUGUAAAGGGGGCGCAGACGGCGAUGCAAGCCAGGAGUGAAAGCCCGGGGCCCAACCCCGGGACUGCUCUUGGAACUGCGUGGCUGGAGUGCAGGAGGGGCAGGCGGAAUUCCUGGUGUAGCGGUGAAAUGCGUAGAUAUCAGGAGGAACACCGGUGGCGAAGGCGGCCUGCUGGACUGCAACUGACGUUGAGGCCCGAAAGCGUGGGGAGCAAACAGG